GCCUUUUAAUCGCUUAAUCUGUUUUAGAGCGGGGGAACCAUUGUUAGGUGGUGAAUGCCACCUUUGGGGUGAAUCUUACUAAGUAAGAGGGGAUACUCUCAGUCCCUAAUCCGUCAGCUAACCUCGUCAGCGUUAUUAUUUUGGAGAG
rnacentral:sRNA from 2 species